rnacentral:rRNA from 1 species
GAUGAACGCUGGCGGCGUGCCUAAUACAUGCAAGUCGAGCGAACGGACGAGAAGCUUGCUUCUCUGAUGUUAGCGGCGGACGGGUGAGUAACGCGUGGAAAACCUACCUAUAAGACUGGGAUAACUUCGGGAAACCGUAGCUAAUACCGGAUAAUAUUUUGAACCGCAUGGUUCAAAAGUGAAAGACGGUCUUGCUGUCACUUAUAGAUGGAUCCGCGCUGCAUUAGCUAGUUGGUAAGGUAACGGCUUACCAAGGCAACGAUGCAUAGCCGACCUGAGAGGGUGAUCGGCCACACUGGAACUGAGACACGGUCCAGACUCCUACGGGAGGCAGCAGUAGGGAAUCUUCCGCAAUGGGCGAAAGCCUGACGGAGCAACGCCGCGUGAGUGAUGAAGGUCUUCGGAUCGUAAAACUCUGUUAUUAGGGAAGAACAUAUGUGUAAGUAACUGUGCACAUCUUGACGGUACCUAAUCAGAAAGCCACGGCUAACUACGUG